rnacentral:lncRNA from 1 species
UACGAUAGUCAAAGUCGCUAAAGCUACCUCGCAGUCAACGAAAAUUGUUAGCAACACCUCUCAACCAAACACUGGAUAAUUGGAUUCAAUUAUGAUCUGAGUACAUGACGAUAGGAAAGGAAAGUUGCAACGAGCUAAGGAUCUAUACGGAGAAGUAGAACUCUAGAAGAUAGGAGGAAGAGACUGAAGAGGUAGAAGCACAAUAUGGAAUGGAUGUCUUCUGAAUAUUUCAUUGAUGCCUAUCGCCUGCGCAGCUUCUCCAUUUUAUAGCAGAGAAUACCCCAUGCCACCUUCCAAGGGCCCACAUGACACCACAUGGCAGUGUACUGACAUUCCCCACCGCUUGAAAUGCGGCUUGCCCCCAAGCCGCUGAUAGUGUAGACAAUGACUGGUGGAUCCGUGGUGGCCAUAGAGCUCUUUGUUGUACAUCAAUCCAAGUAUCAUGUGUUUCAGGAACUCCACACCAACCAACAGACUGUUGUAAUAAUGAUAAGGUAAUACUGCCCAUGCAAGCUUAGUUGACCUACAAAAAUACCUCAUUGUAGGAAAUUCAACUAAUAUGAAAGCGAGCAGCACGGCAGGCGUUAUCCGAUGAUGGAAACACAGACCGGUAUGUUGUCCUACACUUUUGCACAGAUCUGAAAUUCUCUCAAGCAUAGGCCUGGGAAUAAAAGCUCUAGAGGGGUUCCUCGAAUUCAAAACAGUAACAAGUUUAGGGACAUGCUCCUUAUCUUUCAGAACCUUCUCCAACCAAUCAACAUCAUAAUGAAGUGUCCUGGAAUCGCAACCACCAACUAAUAUGUCGGUAGCACCUGUCAUCUGGAACGACAUGUAGGUGAUGAAAUAAUUUGGUGUAAACAUGACAAUGGAAUAACCAGCAUCACAAGAAGUGAGGACCAGAUUCACAAAAGCCUGAAUCGCACUAGCAGUGACCAUGACUGAUGACUUGGUAAGCUUAUUCUCUCUGCUUAGUAAAAUGAAGGAUGGCCAUGGAAUUGGUCUUAACCCAGGGAUAUUGCCUCUGUAGCUUCUUAGUUUUUGUGACUGUGUGCGCCCAAUCCAAUCAGGAAGUUUAGUAGCAAGAGCAUAUACCUUAAGCAGGUAACACACACAAUGAGCACCAACGCUAGAACACCCACCAAGCAGAGCAUCAAUCAAUGAAGAAGGGCAACAACUCUGGCACCAUGUAUCUGGUUGUCGUUGGAUCCAUGUUCGAAACCCUUGCUGCAUUUCAUCGAACACCACUUGAGCAGCAAUUGAAUCUGAUGUAGGCUUGCUUGCAAUAGUCACCAUGGCUACCGAAUUGGGCUUGACGAGCUUUGGAAUGAGGCCAGAGAGAUAGUUGGUUCUUUCUUCGGCUGUCGUUGCUCUGUGAUGCCUCUGUGUGUGUUGUGUCUGUGAGCGCAGGUGCUGUUUCUGUUGGUCGCUUGGCCAGCGAGCGUGCAGGUGGUGCCAGAGUUGCUUGGGGUCAUCCUCGUCUUCUCCUGCUGGAACAACCCCUUGGGUAACAGACUCGCAGAGGUCGACAGGUAUGGCGCAAUACAGAUCCACACGCAGCUUGAAGAAGAGCGACAUCUCGGUGAGGAUGCCAUAGGUGAGCUGGUGGACGGAGAGGUCGAGCGAUUGUAGCAUCUCCGCCAGCUUGGUGGAGCCCAAGGGAAGUAUGCCCGAGAGCGCGUGCGACGGCACGUUGAGCGUCUCAAGCUCGACAUCGAACAGAGCAUCCGGAAUGCAGCCUCUGAGGUUGACGCCCCUCGGUUGCAGCUCGACGAGCUUGGUGCACCCAGACAUGGAUGUUAGCACGGAGUCGUCUGUGUCGGCGGAGUGGUCGAGCCAAUCGUGCGCUAGGAACGCGUGAAGCAGGCGCGGAAGCGGCUCUCCACGGGGCACCCGCAGUGUGCAGUUGUGUGCGGCCUCGGCCGGCGCGUGCUCGGUGAGGACCGGAGUCGAACAGGUGGUGGGCGUCUCCAUUUCAUUGGCACUGGGAACGACGGGAAGGGCCGACUCCGAUAAUGGUGUCUCCAUGUCGUCUGGAUCGAGGUCGAUGACGAGCUUGUCCUGCGAGGUCAUGCACUUGUCCAGCGUGUGCACGCGGGACAGCACGUCGAGGAUGGCGGUGGCGUGCAGCUCGGAGUCGUCGUAGCCGGCAGGUUCGGUGGUCACGAACACGGAGUCAUCUGUGACUUCGGAGUUGGCACGGGCUAGCGCGAUGUCGAUGCUGGGCUCGUCGGUGGAGGCGAUGGGGAGGACGAAUCUCGUGGCGUUGCCUGACGAAGCGAGGUCCUCGCCACCGAAGAAUCCGCCCCAACUAUCAGCGACGACGGAUGGUCUCGUGUGGUACUGCUCGCUGUCGAAGCACCCGCCCCAAUUGUCGGCGAUGACUGCGACCGGGCUAGGCGGCACGCUAGCGGACGCGUCGAACCGCUGGUUGAACUCGUCGAGAGUGAGAUUGAAAUCGAGAGGCAUGGUGUCCACGGCGCUGACGGGGUCGACGGUCAGGUGCUGGAGCGGUCGGCGCUGCAGCCGCGCGCUGCAACCGGGAUGUUGGCGCCGUCCUGGGAUGCUGGCGUUGUGCUGCUGCGAGGAGUCCCAGGUGGUGUCGAGGAGGAAGAGAUGGUCGUGGCACGAGACGUCGACGUACUCGGUGAUGGAGUUGUUGUGCUCCUCGUCGAAAGUAGGCUCGCCAUCGAAGCCUGGGGGUGAGGCCGCCGAAGAGCCGAACACAUCGCCUGGGUACAUCGGGGCCACCGAAGAGUCGAACACGUCGUCGUACAUCGGCGUGGCGACGGAGGAGGUGGCGGAGUUGGAGGAUUGCAGCCCUGAGACCGUGUCCUCCACCCUGUCGCCACCACGGCCAACCAGCGCAUCUGUCAAGCGGAGCUCCAUGUACGCCAUCGCGUCGAGAAUCUGCUGCAUUGCCGCCUCCAUGCGUGCAAUCUUCCAGGAUGCGAGUAGUCUGAUACCAAAUGUUAGCAACAUCUCUCAACCAAACACUGGAUAAUUGGAUUCAAUUAUGAUAUGAGUACAUGACGAUAGGAAAGGAAAGUUGCAACGAGCUAAGGAUCUAUACGGAGAAGUAGAACUCUAGAAGAUAGGAGGAAGAGACUGAAGAGGUAGAAGCACAAUAUGGAAUGGAUGUCUUCUGAAUAUUUCAUUGAUGCCUAUUGUCUGCGCAGCUUCUCCAUUUUAUAGCAGAGAAUACCCCAUGCCACCUUCCAAGGGCCCACAUGACACCACAUGGCAGUGUAC